rfam:Desulfonispora thiosulfatigenes DSM 11270 genome assembly, contig: Dest_Contig00033
AUCGACGGGGAGGUUUGGCACCUCGAUGUCGGCUCAUCGCAUCCUGGGGCUGUAGUAGGUCCCAAGGGUUGGGCUGUUCGCCCAUUAAAGCGGUACGCGAGCUGGGUUCAGAACGUCGUGAGACAGUUCGGUCCCUAUCCAUCGCAGGCGUAGGAAAUUUGAGAGGAUCUGACCCUAGUACGAGAGGACCGGGUUGGACAAACCGCUGGUGUACCAGUUGUCUCGCCAGAGGCAUAGCUGGGUAGCUACGUUUGGAAGUGAUAAGCGCUGAAAGCAUCUAAGCGCGAAGCCUACCUCAAGAUGAGAUUUCCCACAGCGUAAGCUGGUAAGACUCCAGAGAGAAUAUCUGGUAGAUAGGCUAGAAGUGUAAGUGCCGUGAGGUAUUUAGCGGACUAGUACUAAUAGGUCGAGGGCUUGACCUA